rnacentral:misc_RNA from 1 species
AUCUAUGGUUUCGGAACGCACCCGCUAUGGGUGCAUACAUACGUGAUACAUACACACACACGUCCAUACAUACAUGGCGUGCAUGGCUGAGGUCGCCUUAGGUAUUCGCGGCUUGGUAUGGCUUAGUACGUAUUGUACAUAUCUACCGGAACAGGGAUAUAAACAGGAAGAAGAGUAGCAGUUUCUUGUGCGAAUGAAGAUCCGAUUCAACCAUGGCCAUGAAUGGGAAUUUUUUCAAACUUUGUAACGUAAUGGGACCUUAUAGGAAUCUUUUGUCAUCAAGAUUCAUUUUGCCCAGCUAUCAGCCAGUAGCAACGUUGAAGCACUCUUUAGAAGAGCGACUAGGAUUAUCACCGAAACCAAAACGUCCAUUAUCUGUAUAUUUCACUUUCAUGCAACAACUGCGGCCUAUGUUGAGGCAAAAGUAUCCCGAUCUCAAAUCGCCGGAAAUAGUAGCAAUGAUUGCAAAAGAAUACAAAAAAAUGGAUCCUAGUCAAAAAUCAAAAUUGGAAGAAGAACGUAAAAACCUUUAUAAGGAAUACAGCAAAGCAAUGAUAAAUUACGAAAAUUCGAUCACAGAUGAACAGAAGGAACUGAUUAAAAAAGCUAAACGCGAUGAAGCAGAGAAAAAGCUCAAACGAAUGGAAAGAAAAUCACGAUCACAGCAAUUAAAAAGUUUGGGAAUCCCAACAAGACCACCAUCGGCCUAUAGUUUAUUUGCUCGUGCAGCAGCUGAAAAAAGAGGAUCUAUGAAGAUUAGGGACUGGCAGACAAAUAUGCUGCAAAAGUGGAAGGCUUUGUCUGAUGAAGAAAGGCAGGCAUAUGAAACUGAAGCAGCUAAAUCUAUGAAAGAGUUUAAGGAAAGUAUGAGAUUAUGGAAAGAGAGAAUGAAAGAGAGGGGUGAAGAUGAAUCAUUGUCACUUGCGAAGAAGCUCGGUUCAGGUAAAACAGGAUCGAAGCAUUGUUCAGAAUAGCAUGAUGCGUGUCUCACCCGAUCACACGACUUUGUCAGUAAGGUCAAUGGCAUGUAUUCUGGGCCAAAAUCGGAAAUAACACCCCAGGGCUGGGACACGAGCCUGCAUAAUAGUAUAGAGCAGAGUGAGAGCUUGGCGAAUGAUUCACGUAUUGAAAAGAAAAAUGUAGUGAAGAAUUUUAACAGUGUAAGUAAUAGCACGCACGGCGAUGAAGCUACGAAAACAACAUUUUUAUCGUGCACACAAACUGACAUGGAACAGAAAACAUUGAUACAAAGUGACAAUUUCUCACAAAGUGCCACAACAAGUCAUAAAAAGUGCAUUGAUGUGGAAAUCACGGAAGAUGAAACUCAGAAGAAAACCAUACCGCAGCAGCAAACUUUAUUGGAAGAAUUAAAAACUGAUGGAAAAUCAGUUCAUCCUCAGGGAGGAAGUGAAAAUGAGCCUAGUACAAAUGAUAUUCAACUCAAACCUAUCGAUCCAGAUCAUACUUCACAUCAAAUAAAUGCCCGUCAUACGUUAGAAGCCCUUAAGUCUAAGCUCACCAGUUUGACGAACAAACUCACGAAUCUACCGCAGAGUUGGAGUUCCUCAGCUCGGGGGCAAGGAACCGCCUUUCGGCAUUACGUCCUACACCCGAUCCAGUCGGCGUGGUGGGGCACCGUAGCGUGCCCCCCUGAGGAGGCCUGCCCACCGGGGGUAGCCAGCUGGGGACAAAGUUAGGUUCAGUUAGGCCCGUCUACUUUUCUCAACCGGGCUUCGGACCGGCUAUGGCAGUCGCCCCUGGUCGCGAGCCCCUCCCCGUGGGGACGCGGGGUAGCCCCCUUCCAAGGGAUGUUAGGCACUCUUGGUUCUUAUCUAACUUCUGUGUAGGCGAAGGUCCCACUAUUUGAGCACCCUCUUAUCUUAACUCUCUGCGGUGUGAAUGUGAGAAGAUAAAUAAAUAAAUAGAGUAAACGGAUAGUAAGUGUGUCAAAAGUAAAAUAGAUAAAUUAGUAUAUAGUUUAAAAUAGACAUGGAAGGACGUUACGAUGUUUAAAACUUGUCAAUAGACAAGGUGUAAAUGUAGAUAAAUAAAUAGAUAAAUAGAGUAAAAGGAUAGUCAGUGUGUAAAAAGUAAAAUAGGUAAAUUAGUAUAUAGUUUAAAGUAGAUAUGGAAGGACGUUACGAUGUUUAAAACUUGUCAAUAGACAAGGUGUAAAUGUAGAUAAAUAAAUAGAUAAAUAGAGUAAAAGGAAAGUCAGUGUGUGAAAUUAUCAGAAUAGGUAAGUAGAUGUCUUGUAAAAUUAUUAUAUAGUUUAAAAUAGAAAUAGGAGUAAGUCACGAUGGUAAAACUUGUCAAUAGACAUGGUGUAAGUGUGAAUAAAUAAAUAAAUAGAUAGAGUAAAUGGAUGGUCAGUGUGUAAAAUAAGCAAGAUAGGUAAAUUAGUAUAUAGUUUAAAAUAGACAUAGAAGUACGUUACGGUGUUAAAACUUGUCAAUAGACAUAGUGUAAAUAUGAAUGAAGAAAUAAAUAAAUCAUCGGUUA